GAAUCUCCAAUCGCCUAGUGGUUAGAACGUCCGCCUCGGAUGCGGGAGGUCGUGGGUUCGAUCCUCGUUUGAGUCA